rnacentral:rRNA from 1 species
GACGAACGCUGGCGGCGUGCUUAACACAUGCAAGUCGAACGGGUCUGCCCUGUUUUUUGCGGGGUGGGUCAGUGGCGAGCGGGUGAGUAACACGUGAGUAACCUGCCCCUCACUUCUGGAUAACCGCUUGAAAGGGUGGCUAAUACGGGGUGUUCUGGCUGUGCCGCAUGGUGUGGCUGGGAAAGAUUCACUUUUGUGGUGUUUUGGUGGGGGAUGGGCUCGCGGCCUAUCAGCUUGUUGGUGGGGUGAUGGCCUGCCAAGGCUUUGACGGGUAGCCGGCCUGAGAGGGUGGGCGGUCACACUGGGACUGAGAUACGGCCCAGACUCCUGCGGGAGGCAGCAGUGGGGGGUAUUGCACAAUGGGCGGAAGCCUGAUGCAGCGACGUCGCGUGAGGGAUGGAGGCCUUCGGGCUGUGAACCUCUUUCGCCGGUGAAGAAGGUCCUGCUCUUUGUGGUGGGGUUGACGGUAGCCGGGUUAUGAAGCGCCGGCUAACUACGUG